rnacentral:rRNA from 1 species
GAAGGGGGCUAGCGUUGCUCGGAAUUACUGGGCGUAAAGGGAACGUAGGCGGACAUUUAAGUCAGAGGUGAAAUCCCGGAGCUUAACUUCGGAACUGCCUUUGAUACUGGAUGUCUUGAGUGUGAGAGAGGUAUGUGGAACUCCGAGUGUAGAGGUGAAAUUCGUAGAUAUUCGGAAGAACACCAGUGGCGAAGGCGACAUACUGGCUCAUUACUGACGCUGAGGCUCGAAAGCGUGGGGAGCAAACAGGAUUAGAUACCCUGGUAGUCCACGCCGUAAACGAUGAUUGCUAGUUGUCGGGGAGUUUACUUCUCGGUGACGCAGCUAACGCAUUAAGCAAUCCGCCUGGGGAGUACGGUCGCAAGAUUA